rnacentral:rRNA from 1 species
AGUUGCCAUCAUUCAGUUGGGCACUCUAGCGAGACUGCCGGUAAUAAACCGGAGGAAGGUGGGAAUGACGUCAAAUCAUCAUGCCCCUUAUGACCUGGGCUACACACGUGCUACAAUGGUUGGUACAACGAGUUGCGAGUCGGUGACGGCGAGCUAAUCUCUUAAAGCCAAUCUCAGUUCGGAUUGUAGGCUGCAACUCGCCUACAUGAAGUCGGAAUCGCUAGUAAUCGCGGAUCAGCACGCCGCGGUGAAUACGUUCCCGGGCCUU